AUGCCCAAAAGGAAGGUCAGCUCUGCCGAAGGGAAGGUAAAGGAAGAGCCCAAGAGGAGAUCGGCGUGGUUGUCAGCUAAACCUGUUUCUGCAAAAGAGGAAACGAAGCCAGAAAAGGCAGCAGGAAAGGAUAAAUCAACAGACAAGAAAGUGCAAACAAAAGGAAAAAGAGGAGCGAAGGGAAAACAGGCUGAAGUGGCUAACCAAGAAACUAAAGAAGAUUUACCUGCAGAAAAUGGAGAAACUAAAAACGAGAGUCCAGCCUCUGAUGAAGCAGGAGAUAAAGAAGCCAAGUCUGGUUAA